GAGGGGGAGACGCGCGUGGCCGGGAGGGUGGCGCGAGGGCGCAGCGGCGCGCGCCCAGGGGAGGCCAGGAGACGCCGCCGAGCGGACGGGGCAGUUGUCAGGCGGGCGGGAAAAGGGGAAGAGCGGCAGGCAGGGGUCACGCCGAGGCCAGCCGCAUCCCUGGGCAACAGCGAGGGCGUGAGCGGAGUUUGAGGGGAGACGUGCAAAGACUCACGGGAGCUGGAAGGAGCCUGGACGCGCACGGCCCGCUUCUGCCAUUCCCAUCUCCCCUUCCAGGUCAUGAGGUGGUGCCUUUCAGACUCUGGACCCUCGUCCUAGGGAUGGCACCGUGCAGACGACCUGUGUGUGACCAGUUAUGGGGUCUGAGGUCUCAAAAUCCAUGCCGGCCACCAGCGGUGGAGUAGAUGGAGAUCUUGAAAGAUGCCUUUCAAAUGAAAGAAAACACAGCUCCUUAAAAAAACAAAACCAUCAGACAUUUCAUACAGCACAGCAUUAAAAUCAUAAUUACGCCAUUCACUGAAGAAUUUUAAGCAGCAAGCAAUUUGAUUUUGGUAUUUAUUGAAAAGAAUGACACAGGAACAGCAAUAUAACAGGUACACUUUUCUAAACUAUGGAAACAUACAGUACUAUGCAAAAUUUUAAUUGCAAAUACUGCAUCUCCAAAUUUUAUUGUUUUAAAAAUGCAAAUAAACUGGGAUCUAAUAAAUGAUUUCAUGAAUUAAAUAAAGGAAUUGAAUAGAAUAUACAGAUUGUUGUUGUUGUUAAAUUAUACCUACCUUCUUUCCUGACAGGGAGUUGAGGCAGCUUGCAGAUUAAAAUAAGAAAAGCUGAAAAACACACAAUUGAACUCUGAUAGAACUAAAACUUGUAAAAGGAAACACGCAGUAAAAAAAAUGUCAAAAUCCACAGUUUGGCAAUACUUUUAUUAGGACUGACCAAAAUACCACCCAAGUGGCAAGUGUUUGACUUCUCCAGAACUCUUCAUCAGGCAAUAUGUCACAUAAAGCAAAGGGUGGGGGGAACAUGCCUAAAACAUGAUUGACUGAAUCAAACAACCAACCAGAGAGAUUAGUAAGUAGCAGGACAUGGGCUUGAUAAGGAUAUAAUCACAUAUAUAUCACCCUAAUUUAACAGCAGUCACAUUAGAACUAAAAGGAGAAGUUAUAUGUUUUUUAAAAACUGCACAGAUUUCUGGAAUUGCACUCUUUCAAGUGACAGAGGAUAUAUGUUCUUGAAUAUUGUUGUUGUUGUUAUUGCAGAGGUAGUAGCACUCUUCAUCAGAUGUCAAGG